rnacentral:rRNA from 1 species
GACGAACGCUGGCGGCGUGCCUAAUACAUGCAAGUCGAACGAACGGAUAAAGAGCUUGCUCUUUUGAAGUUAGUGGCGGACGGGUGAGUAACACGUGGGUAACCUGCCUCACAGCUGGGGAUAACAUCGAGAAAUCGAUGCUAAUACCGAAUGUGCUGAACAUCAUAAGAUGUUCAAGUGAAAGACGGUUUCGGCUGUCACUGUGAGAUGGACCCGCGCUGGAUUAGCUAGUUGGUAAGGUAAAUGGCUUACCAAGGCGACGAUCCAUAGCCGACCUGAGAGGGUGAUCGGCCACAUUGGGACUGAGACACGGCCCAAACUCCUACGGGAGACAGCAGUAGGGAAUCUUCGGCAAUGGACGAAAGUCUGACCGAGC